AGCGAACGCUGGCGGCAGGCCUAACACAUGCAAGUCGAGCGGUCGUAGCAAUACGGCAGCGGCAGACGGGAGAGUAACACGUGGGAACGCGCCCUUCGGUUCGGAAUAACUCAGGGAAACUUGGGCUAAUACCGAAUACGCCCUUACGGGGAAAGAUUUAUUGCCGAAGGAACGGCCCGCGUCCGAUUAGCUUGUUGGUGAGGUAACGGCUCACCAAGGCGACGAUCGGUAGCUGGUCUGAGAGGAUGACCAGCCUCACUGGGACUGAGACACGGCCCAGACUCCUACGGGUGGCUG
rnacentral:rRNA from 1 species